rnacentral:rRNA from 1 species
GACGAACGCUGGCGGCGUGCUUAACACAUGCAAGUCGAGCGGUAAGGCUCCUUCGGGAGUACACGAGCGGCGAACGGGUGAGUAACACGUGAGUAACCUGCCCCUUUCAUCGGAAUAACCAGUGGAAACGCUGGCUAAUGCCGAAUACGACCACCGAAGGCAUCUUCUGGUGGUGGAAAGCUCCGGCGGAAAGGGAUGGACUCGCGGCCUAUCAGCUUGUUGGUGAGGUAAUGGCUCACCAAGGCAACGACGGGUAGCCGGCCUGAGAGGGUGACCGGCCACACUGGGACUGAGACACGGCCCAGACUCCUACGGGAGGCAGCAGUGGGGAAUAUUGGACAAUGGGCGAAAGCCUGAUCCAGCAACGCCGCGUGAGGGAUGACGGCCUCGGUUGUAACCGUACUUCUAGUAGGACGAAGACGAAAGUAGACGGUACCGUACACGAAGAAGGAACCGGCCGAACUACGUGCCAGCAGCCGCGGUAAAGUAAGACGUACU